GAUCAUUGGUCCCUAAAUCAUAACAUAAUGAAAGAGCAUGAAACCAAAAGGAUCAUUGGUGAGACAAUAAUACAUUUUUACAGUACUGCAUGGUGAGACAAUAAAGGGCCCCAAAGAAAUAGAAAGGGGUAGUUUGCAGAUUAAACCAACAUAGCAGCUACUGGCUCAAUAAUGUUGAUCUGAGGAUGUUGGGCACACUGAACACAGCACGGUAUGUUUUAAUAUACACAAGGCAACUUGAUUUGAUAAUUAUUAAUGAUACAAGUUUGGAGACCAGGGUGAAAGCAAAAGUAAAAAUACCUUGAUAAGAACAAAAGCUCUUGCAUCUCUCGUAGAUCCCGAAUCUUGAAUUUUGCUCCUACUCAAGAUGGAUUGCAAACUAAAAAAAUCAGACCUCAAAUAGGUAUUAACCAAUAUUUAAUUUAUAGGUUGAUGUGCAUACAACAACAAAAUAUGGAAGGGAAUAGUACCACUUCAUUUGGAAGAAUAUUAUUCAAUUUCUUACAUUGAGUGAUAACGUGUGAUGUUUGUUCAAUUCUUCCUAAAUCAAAAAAUAAUGAAAGAGAUUAAAUCAAAGGGUAUGGACAAACAAAUUAGAGAGCAAAACUGUUACAUACUCGAUAGUCAGACAAUAAAAAAAUCAUAAGGAAAUAGAAUGGAAAGUAACAUUAGGAGUUUAAGACUGAACAAAUGUAGCAGCUAUUGGCUCAAAACAGACCAGAUGAUCUUGAGCAUACUAGACAUCGAAUGUUAUUGUAAUAUAUAGGAGAAAACAUGCCAUACAAUUAUUCAUGAUAAAUUUUGGAAGGGUGAAAGCACAAGUAAAAAACCUUAUGCACCGUCUGUACCAACACAAGACAAAAAAAUAGUUUAUGUAUAGAACCUGCUAAUGUCUUUUUCAUGAUUCUUAUUUACUGCUCGAUCUUGAGAAAAUUAACUGAGAAACCAAUGUUCGCUGUUACUUCUUACUCUAGUUUCAACUUCCGGUUACAUGUUGAUACACAAAAUACAAAUAUUGGAAGGGGUGACCCACAAUUACAAAACCAGAAAAGAAGAUAUGCAGA
rnacentral:lncRNA from 1 species